rnacentral:lncRNA from 1 species
GGGAUCCCGCGUCAUGUUCUACUCCGGCGGCCGGAUGACCUCAGGUUUGUGGAACACCGGAUCUGUCCAGCUCGAGGUCCUUGUCCAUGGAUCUGGCCAGGAAAAAUCAUUUUCUCCAUUGCUUAUGUCGGUGAGGCUAGAUCACACGUUAUGUGCUUAUGCUUUUCUCCUAGCUGGUGUUCAUCUGUUCUAGAUUUGCACGUUUUUAUGAUUUUAAUUGUGUUCCUUCUAUUCCUUUGGUACGAUUGAUUUGGCUGUAUGGUUCAAUCAAGAUUUAUAUCAUUUGUUCGGGACAACUAUGUUUGUUCCAUUUUUGUGUCAAUUUGCUUCCAAACCAUGUGCAUCUGAUUUUGCAGGGAGGGGAAAUCCUCUCUUUGACCUGCUCUAUGUAGUUGCUGGCAAUGAUUUUCAGAUUUGGCGCAUGGUAGCUAAAAUACAGGGUAUAAUUUUUGGAUGUGUCACUGGAUUAUAGUACUGUCGCUGGAUUUUUGCUUGGAUGUAGUUGUUGGUAUAAUGCACGCCCAUGGAUAAAUUAGUGUGUUGUGGAUUCGGAAAAUGCGAACGGAGGCCGUCCUUCAGGCAGGCCGGAAUCUCGGCCAUUGAACCUCCAUGGGGAUCUGUGCUGCCAGAGAGUGGCUCUCGGCAAAGCAUGCAUAGUUUUGUUAUCCGUGACUAAAUGUUCGCUUUGUCGCCCCCAACGAGAUGAUAUUUUUUAUUAGAUUCAUUGCAGUCUGAACAGAGUUUUAGCUAAAUAGAGAGCUAGUGCACAAAGCAUGCAUAGUUUUGUUAUCUGUGACUGGAUUUAGUUGUCGGGUUAGUUGCUCCCGGGCUAUUUUAGUGAUGUGGAUUUGUCGAUGUGCAUACACUACCAAAAACUGAAUUUUUUCUGUGAGCCUAAAACCGACAGGAAAAGAGGGAAAACCGACAGGAAUAUAUUUUCCUGUCGGCCAACCGUCAGGAAUGGCCGCCAGCCAUAGCUUGACAGGGAAAGGAAGCUAUGCCUGUCGGUUGGCCGACAGGAACUUUAUCCCUGUCGGUUUUACUUGUUUCUCUGACGGUUUUGGCCCUACAGGGCUGUACAGGCAUCAGGUUUGGCCAACCAUGGAAGUUGUUUAUCCCUGUCACACAGCCGACAGGAAAAUAAGACACAAACGAACAAAAAAAACUCCAUAAUGAUAGUUUUACACAUCUAUUCCAUUAUUUAGAAUACUCAGAACAUAGAAACAUCAAUAGCAAUAGUGUACAUCAACCAUAUAUCUACGAAUUCACAUAUCUCCUGGUACAGUUCCAUAGAAUUUACAUGAAUCAUAGGCUAACAAAAGCAGAGGUCCAGCAUGAGACCUAAUUUUCUAUAAUGCCUUGCUGCGGUUUAAGUUGCAAGCUGCUCUUCAAAGUUACCCUGCAGUGGCUUAAUUGAACUUGUAAAAAUGAGCAAGUGUACGUCAACAUUUUGCUACAAAAAGGUAACAAGAAACAGGAACAACAUAUAUAAGAUAUGAUCAACAUAAUCUAUUUGGUAUCUCAGCUUCUCACAUUAACAUUGGCAUAUAUACCAAACUUGUUUUUGUCACAGCAGGGUUACCAAAUUUAACAGCUAUAUAGACAAAUAAUGGAGUGAUUUGUUCUAGCAUCAUGUCUCAGAUUUGAUGCAAAUAAUACAGCUGACUAAAUCCACUCAAAGGACAACCUGAGCACAAGCUUCUGGAUCAGUUUGGCAGAACUAUCAGCUAACAGCCGGAGUAGAUAAUUUAUUAGAAACUUCUUGCAAGUCAAGUUCAAAACACAGUACCAAUGUUAAUACAAUUAAGUGCAACUCCCCGAGGAUGCAUAACCACAAAGCUACAUAAUAAGAAAAUAAUAGGGAGUUAAGUCUAUCCAUUUCAGAUUUGCAAGAAUACUCAGCAGAUCCUUGAUCAUCUCCAAAAUAGUAGAAACCAAAGCAUUAUGCAAUUAUUUGAUAAUGUAAUAGUGGGGAAAGGUACCUCUUCAUUCAGAACAAUAUGGUAGAACUUCUUGCCUUGAUUGAUAACCUGAAAUUCUUGAUUGAACCUCCUUGUUGUACUGAUAAUGCUCCUUGUACUUGCCAUGCAGCUGCUAGUGCUUCCUAAAUCCUAAUAUAAUAAAAGAGGAUGAAACCAAAAGCUACGAAUAAAUAAAACUAGAGAACACAUUUUUACGACACUUCAAAUUGAGACAAUAAAAGAUCAAAAGGGGAUAGAAAUAAGUUGUGUUCAGACUAAACGAACAUAGAAAAUUACUGGUUAAAUGAAGAUCUCAUGAUCUUUGGCACACUGGACAUAGCAUGGUAUGAUUUAAUAUACAUGAGACAACUUGAUCAACAGUUAUUCAAGAUAAUCCAUUGAUUAGUAAAAAUACCUUGAUUAGAUCAAAGGCUCUUGCAUCUCAGCGUAGAUCCCGAAUCUUGAAUUUUGCUCCUAAUCAUGAGAUGCAAACUAGAAAAAUCAGUCCUCAAAUAAGCAGUGACCAAUAUUUAAUUUCUAGGUUCAAGUGCAUAUACAACAACAAAAUAUGGAAGGGAAUAGUACCACUUCAUUUGGAAGAAUAUUAUACAAUUUCUUGACGCCAAGUCAUAACCUCAACCUCAUCUUUAGCCUAUCUGUUGCACUGAUGAUGUUCAUAGUACUUGCAACGCAACUGCUACUGGAUAGAGAGCAAACUGUUACAGUACUGGAUAGUAAGAGAAUAAAAUCAGAAGGAAAUAGAAUCGCAAGUAACAUUUGGACUGAACAAACAUUGUUUUCAUGACAGCGUUCCCUGCAUUAUUUUCAUUUUCAGUGCAUUAUUCAGGACAGAGCAAACCAAAGCAAUGUGGUUCAGGAAAGAGUUCCCUGCAUUAUUUUCAUUUUUCAGUUCAAGGCAGCAAUAUGGUGACCGGUUAAAGCUUGAAAACAAAUGAUAGUUCCAACUGACACACCAGACGAAGCAUCUAAAUGAUCACAACAUAGUUACAGGCCAUAUAAUAAACAAAUGCAUAGACCUUGUACAAGCCGCUCAAAAAUCAGAGGAACCAUGUUCAUGUAUGAAAGUUCCGGGAAGUAAAAAUUGACCAACGUGCACCUCCAUGUAUAGAUACAUCACAAAAUAUAUGUUGUUAUAUACAACCUAAAAACAGUAAUCAAUCUUGGAGAAUAAUAAAAAUUCAACAGAUCAUCAUAAGGAAAAUCAUGCCCCAAAAAAUUUAUUAGUCUUGUAACCUGGAAAUGAAAGCAAAAGAUCUCAUACAACCUUUUCUAAAAGCAGUUGGCUCUAGUACCAGUACAAUAUCUUGCAGCAUAUGGUUGCAGAGGAGAGGCGUUCAACUACUUUGGCCUAUUCGAAAUGAAUGUCCGUAUAGAGCCAUUUGCUUCCGCUAGUACCCAACAAAUUAGGGAGAAGAAAAUGCUUAUUAUUUUUUUGGUGAAUCCAAUCGGAGGUGCUUACAGAUGAAAUUUAUCAGAAGGAUACAGAUCCUAGAGAAUGGAAUAUACAUCGAUUAUUAUAAGUGAAAAAACAUCAUAGUAGAGGUGGCGCCUAGAUCUGGAAGGGACGCUACCUGGAUGGAACAGGGUGGUACUCAAAAAAGGAUGCUAAGAAGGUCGAGUGACGGCAGUGGCGGCGACGUUGACGGAGACCCUCCCGCGGAGGCAGCAGGGAGGUUGACGGCGAUAUUCCGGAGAGGGUCGUUCCAUGGUCGAUGACCCUACAAAUAUGGCGGAGGGGGCAGCCGAGAGAUUGGAGGAGGCGGAGCCGGCGGCGAGGGAUUCAGCGCGCAACCCGGCGCGGCGGCGGCCGCUAGGGAUUUGGGGCGCAUCUGGGCGGCGGCGGCGAGGGAUUUGGGACGGAACUGAGACUGGGAAGAUAAGGGUGGGUACUGAUUUGGGAUUUCUUUUUCGCCAGGGCUUUAUAUAAGUCGGUGAGCGGCGGGCCAGAAUUCGGCUAAGCGGCGGGACGGGCUUUCAUUUUGGCGCGCGCAGCUGAAAUUCCAUAGCGCCAAACAUGGGCCUCUUUUUCUUGUGAGUUACCCACGACAGGGAUACAUAUUAGUUCUAUGGGCUGAGCAGGGGCCGACACCGAUAUUAUUAAUUCUGUGAGUCUUCGGUUGGCCCACAGGAAUAUACAUCAUUUUCCUGUGAGCUAGUGCGGGCCCGACAUGAAAAAAUGAUGACCCACAGAAAUAUUUCGCUUUCUGGUAGUGAUAUGCCGAAUCUAGUAGGUGAAUACUAGGGAUGAGUCUGGGUUGUUUAUUUUGUUUGGAGGUAUUUUUGUGGGAUUUUCACCGCUUAGCAGCAUGAUUAUUCGUGAACUUGUAAGCAAUUGGUAUGGUUUUUAUCAAAUAAUUAAAUCUAAGCUAGUUUGCCAUCAACCCCAUAGAUCGAAAUUUGUUUUGCAGUUUAUCAAUUUGAUUAGUUAAGUCUACAUAGAGUUUUUGUUCAUUGUUCUGUCCAUCGUCUCAUUAACUGAAUAAUGAUGUCUGAUUGCUCGUCUGUUCAAUUUGAUUAGAUCUCUUGUUAUCAUUACGGAUUUAUGAUGAGCCAUAUUUUUUUCCAAUUUCCUCAGUAGCUGCUAAUAAAUGUAACACGAGUGAACAUACAUUAUGGUUUAGGGUUCAGGACGUUUCUCUUUAUUUUGUUGGUUAAGAGACUAGAAAUCAUGCAGCCUUAAUACUAAACUGUAUGUAGAUUGUGUCUAUUUGAGCUCCAAGCUUUUUUUAGCCACUUCAUUUUUAACUCGUCUUCUCAUUAUGUCUUCGUGGUGAGCAAUAAUGUGUUUUCCCACUUUUCACUCUAGUUGUUAAUGAUCGUGACACCAAUGCACAUGCAUUAUGGCAGGGUGCAAGCUAUUUCUUUUUGGUUCUUUUGAUUAUCAGUCCUAAAAUGGUGUGGCCUGGACCAAAACCUUAUUUAAAUUUUGUUUUAUCUAAGGAGUAAUAUUAUCAAUGUGAUUUGUUUGUAAUGAGCUGAAGGUUUUCUUCUGUUCUGAUUAUCCCUUGGGUAGUUAUCUACAUGUGCUUUGUUUUGUUAAUAAGGAACAAGACAGUAUG